AACGCUAGCUACAGGCUUAACACAUGCAAGUCGCGGGGCAGCAUGAAUUUAGCUUGCUAAAUUUGAUGGCGACCGGCGCACGGGUGAGUAACGCGUAUCCAACCUUCCCUUAUCCACGGGAUAGCCCGUCGAAAGGCGGAUUAAUACCGUAUGAGGUCAUUUGAUGGCAUCUGAUUAUGACGAAAGGUUUAGCGGAUAAGGAUGGGGAUGCGUCCGAUUAGCUAGUUGGCGGGGUAACGGCCCACCAAGGCGACGAUCGGUAGGGGUUCUGAGAGGAAGGUCCCCCACAUUGGAACUGAGACACGGUCCAAACUCCUACGGGAGGCAGCAGUGAGGAAUAUUGGUCAAUGGACGAGAGUCUGAACCAGCCAAGUAGCGUGCAGGAUGACGGCCCUAUGGGUUGUAAACUGCUUUUAUGUGGGAAUAAAUAAGAUUACGUGUAAUCUGUUGCAUGUACCACAUGAAUAAGGACCGGCUAAUUCCGUGCCAGCAGCCGCGGUAAUACGGAAGGUCCGGGCGUUAUCCGGAUUUAUUGGGUUUAAAGGGAGCGUAGGCGGUCUGUUAAGCGUGUUGUGAAAUGUAACGGCUCAACCGUUGACUUGCAGCGCGAACUGGCAGUCUUGAGUGCGCAGGAAGUAGGCGGAAUUCGUGGUGUAGCGGUGAAAUGCUUAGAUAUCACGAAGAACUCCGAUUG
rnacentral:rRNA from 1 species